GGCCUAGUCCCACACGUGGCAACCUUAUGACCAUUACGUGUCCCUUACGGACCGUAAGGGAUAAGUCUUACGGUCCGUAAGCCUGUCAAAUUUCGUGUAUAAAUAGCAGGCAUCGGCAUUUGCAGUCUGCUCUUCAUUCGACGAUUAAAUUCCGAUUAUACACCGAGUUAUCAUCCAAAUGCUCUAAAAACACACACGCGAAUCACUAAUUAGUAUAGCAGGGUGCUGCUACGAUACAGGGUAUUAAUUCGAUCGCUAUUACGAUUCAUUUUCCGACCGAUCAAUAUAUCCAAUGGAUGUUUAAGUGCCACCCACAUUAGGGUUAUACUUUGUCGUUCGUCGUUAAUUCGAUGGAUGUUUAAGUAUCGCACUUUGUCGUUCGUUGUGAGAAUUUGAUCUCGUGAGUUAUCGUAACUGUUGUAUUAAGUUACCUACCUAGUUCGUAUGCACUAGAUUACAAGGCUAAAUCAACAGGCUAAGCUCUGCCUGUGUAAAUCUGCAAUAUAUCAAGGCUUAUCUGUAGACUAAACUUUGGCCGUAUGAAUCUGCAUGAUUAUAAUGUAAUUACAGUAGAUUGGAGUAAGGAUUGGAUCCGGCACUAAAAGACAUCAAGAAGUGGCUUAUUUUAUUAAUUAAAUCAAAUUAAGAAAUAUUGUAUUUAUUAAAAGCUACCUUUGUAACAAUGGAAUUUAUUCCAUCUAUUUAAAUAAAAUCCGGUGUU
rnacentral:lncRNA from 1 species